rnacentral:rRNA from 1 species
AGUGAACGCUGGCGGUAGGCCUAACACAUGCAAGUCGAACGGCAGCACAGUAAGAGCUUGCUCUUACGGGUGGCGAGUGGCGGACGGGUGAGGAAUACAUCGGAAUCUACUUUUUCGUGGGGGAUAACGUAGGUAAACUUACGCUAAUACCGCAUACGACCUACGGGUGAAAGCAGGGGAUCUUCGGACCUUGCGCGAUUGAAUGAGCCGAUGUCGGAUUAGCUAGUUGGCGGGGUAAAGGCCCACCAAGGCGACGAUCCGUAGCUGGUCUGAGAGGAUGAUAAGCCACACUGGAACUGAGACACGGUCCAGACUCCUAAGGGAGGCAGCAGUGGGGAAUAUUGGACAAUGGGCGCAAGCAUGAUCCAGCCAUACCGCGUGGGUGAAGAAGGCCUUCGGGUUGUAAAGCCCUUUUGUUGGGAAAGAAAAGCAGCAGGUUAAUACCCCGCUGUUCUGACGGUACCCAAAGAAUAAGCACCGGCUAACUUCGUG